AGCUAAUCCUGCCAAUAGAAUACUGCAGGCAGGAGCUCACGAUUGCAAGUAGACCUGUGUACAGGAGCCAAAGUACAGCCCCAGGCACCCAGAGAGCCCAAACCAAAACAGCAGGUGCGGUGCACUGGGAACAAGGGACCACCAACCCCACGCAGCCAGGCCGGCCAGCGCCAGGAACCCCAGAAAGAAAGAACUCAUAGCAAAGUACAAAGGUGGCGCCCCCUCUGGUCCUUCCACUCUGCUCAUCACAACCUUCACCAACAAGAGUUUCCAAAAAAAGCUUCAUGUCCCGUUGGACGACUUUCAGCACGUGUUCCGCCUCGUCGUCCGUCAGACCGGACAGGUCCAGCCUCCGGCCCAUCUUUACCGGGCUCGCCAGGACGGUGGGGUGGGAUGCCGGUGGUCCAAAACAGGAUGAUGAUGACAACAAAGAAGAGGAGGAGGAGAGGCACUAGCGCUGGAACAACCCUGUUGGAGGACAACAGAGAUAGAGAAGUUGAGAAUGUGUUUUGGAUGCUGGAGACACCUACACAAGAGGUGUUGAGUUAGUAAAGCAUAUUGUCAAUGUCUGGUAUUUACUAGUUUAGUCCCACAGCAGCCCAAAACAUGCAUGUCAGGUUAAUUGGAGAAUGUUCCUUGUCCAAAAGUGUGAAUAAAAAUAAUAAAUAAAUUGUUGCCUUUGACUAUACGGUACCAAAAGUGAGUAAAAUCUUCAUAUCUAUGCAAAUAUUUUAUAAUAUUUUUUU